GCUCAGUUGGUGGAGCACAAGGCUCUUAACCUUGUGGUCAUGGGUUCAAGCUCCAC
rnacentral:tRNA from 1 species